AGAACGGGGGAGGUAGUGACGAAAAAUAACAAUACGGGACUCUUUUGAGACCCCGUAAUUGGAAUGAGUACACUCUAAAUCCUUUAACGAGGAUCCAUUGGAGAGCAAGUCUGGUGCCAGCCGUCGCGGUAAUUCCAGCUCCAAUAGCGUAUAUUAAAGUUGUUGCGGUUAAAAAGCUCGUAGUUGGAUCUCAGAUCCGGCCGGACGGUCCACCUACCGGUGGUUACUGUUCGCUGCCGAUCGUUGAGGCGGUUAUUCUUGAUGAUCUUCACCGGUUGUCUCGGGUGACCGCCAAGUUUACUUUGAAAAAAUUAGAGUGCUCAAAGCAGGCGUGACGCCUGAAUAAUUGUGCAUGGAAUAAUGGAAUAGGACCUCGGUUCUAUUUUGUUGGUUUUCGGAACACGAGGUAAUGAUUAAGAGGGACAGACGGGGGCAUUCGUAUUGCGACGCUAGAGGUGAAAUUCUUGGACCGUCGCAAGACGAACUACUGCGAAAGCAUUUGCCAAGAAUGUUUCCAUUAAUCAAGAACGAAAGUUAGAGGCUCGAAGGCGAUCAGAUACCGCCCUAGUUCUAACCAUAAACGAUGUCAGCCAGCAAUCCGCCUGUGUUCCUCAAAUGACACGGUUGUCGGCU
rnacentral:rRNA from 1 species